GUUCCCUGCCUCUUCCAGCUUCUGGUGGCUCCAGGCUUUCCUUGGCUUGUGGCUGCAUCAAUCCAGUCUCUCCCUCCAUCUUCCCGUGGCCUUCUCCUGUAUAUGCCUGUAUCUUUUCCUCUUCUCUCUCAUAUAAGGACACUUGUCACUGGAUUUAGGGCCCAGCGGGGUAAUCCAGGAUGAUCUCAUCUCAAUAUCCUUAACAUUAAUCACAUCUGCAAAGACCCUUUUGUCAAAUAAGGCAACAUUCACCUGUUCUAGGGAUUUGGGUGUGUUCAUCCCUUCAACCUAUUACAGUGAUCAGAUCUCCCCCUGCCGCCCUUUCAUCAGGACACUUUGGGUUGCAUUUAGGGCCCACCUAGAUGCUCCAGGAACAUUCCGCAUCUCAAGAUCCUUAACUCCAUCACAUCUGUAAAGUCCUUUUUGCCACAUAAAGUAAGAUUCACGAGAUCCGGGGAUUGGGAACCACCAUUUAAUAUACCGCAUCCACUUUUUCUAGGCUAUUCCGUCGUCCUUCUCUAGUGAUUUGAUGGUGCACUUCACAGAAUUUGCAUACUACCCCUUCCUUUGAGAUGGGGAUACCCUUGCGGAAGGAUACAGAUUACAUUCAACAAAGGAAAAGCUACAUGGGGUGAAGUCCAGGCGCAGAGGGAACAGCUUGUGCAAAGGCCCAGAGAUAGUUCAAGAGACAGCAGGCUCACUAUAGAAACCGCAGCAAACGCUGAGAAACAAAAAAUGAAAUGAAAAAAAUCAUCUGUAAUUCCACUACCCAGAGAUGGUCAGAAAGGCACCAGGACCAGCACCAAGAUGGGCAGAUGUAAGAGCUGCAGUCCAGCCACGGAGGGGACAGGGGAGACAUGCCCACCUCCGCCUUCUCCUUCCCCC